rnacentral:lncRNA from 1 species
AAUAACUAUUAAGCUUAUUUAAAACCCAACUAAAUUAAAGUUUAGCUCAUAAUGAGCUUUAAAAAAGUAAUAACACAAGUGUUUGCCAUUAAAUAUAUUUCAAAGAGAGAACAAAAUAAGCAAACAAAAGAAAAAAUUGAGAUACAAAAGAACCAAAACGUCACACUUUAGUCUUCAGUUCUCUCUCAUUUUCUCCACGAAUAACGCCUCUAUUGCAGCUCUAAAAUCUCUCUUUUUAUUCUCUUUACCUCCGUCAACUGUCCUCCUCCUAUUUUCUUAAAAUGUACUCUUUUAUAUCUUGAAAUUAAGACAACAAAAAAGUAUGAGGACACUUGUCUUUUCUUGGCAUCUUAAGACCACAUUCUUUUUUGUGCUGUCUGCCACUGUUUUGUCUGCACAUGGCAGUGGUAGCGUAAUAACAGCUGCAGUAGAAUUUGUCUGUUAGCAUGUGAAGUAUGGACAACUUUUGACUGUAUUUGACCCGAGAUUGCUACAGCAAUUGCUACAACAUUCUCUCUGGUUCAUACUUGUUUUUGUUCAUACGCACAUUAGUCUUUUGUCAUUUUCUACAGGCCUAUGGCUGUAGCAAUGCAGCCCUUCUUCUAUAGCAUUCCAAGGAAAAAAUCCCUUUAAUCUUAAUUCAAAUGAUUUAUGGCUUAGUUUCCUCCAACUUUGUAACAAAUGUAAAAAAUGAUGAGAUAAACUUUAUAGUAAUUUACUCACUCGUUCUUUCCCUAGCAUGACACUUAUGGUAUAUUUACUUAUUC